rnacentral:rRNA from 1 species
AAGCAGAGGGGGCUUAGUGGUGGGGUGACUGCGUACCUUUUGUAUAAUGGGUCAGCGACUUAUAUUCUGUAGCAAGGUUAACCGAAUAGGGGAGCCGGAGGGAAACCGAGUCUUAACCGGGCGUUAAGUUGCAGGGUAUAGACCCGAAACCCGGUGAUCUAGCCAUGGGCAGGUUGAAGGUUGGGUAACACUAACUGGAGGACCGAACCGACUAAUGUUGAAAAAUUAGCGGAUGACCUGUGGCUGGGGGUGAAAGGCCAAUCAAACCGGGAGAUAGCUGGUUCUCCCCGAAAGCUAUUUAGGUAGCGCCUCGUGAAUUCAUCUCCGGGGGUAGAGCACUGUUUCGGCUAGGGGGCCAUCCCGGCUUACCAACCCGAUGCAAACUGCGAAUACCGGAGAAUGUUAUCACGGGAGACACACGGCGGGUGCUAACGUCCGUCGUGAAGAGGGAAACAACCCAGACCGCCAGCUAAGGUCCCAAAGUCAUGGUUAAGUGGGAAACGAUGUGGGAAGGCCCAGACAGCCAGGAUGUUGGCUUAGAAGCAGCCAUCAUUUAAAGAAAGCGUAAUAGCUCACUGGUCGAGUCGGCCUGCGCGGAAGAUGUAACGGGGCUAAACCAUGCACCGAAGCUGCGGCAGCGACGCUGAUGCGUUGUUGGGUAGGGGAGCGUUCUGUAAGCCUGCGAAGGUGGCCUGUGAGG